rnacentral:rRNA from 1 species
UAAAUACUAAUACCAGAUCGAUAGUGCACAAGUACCGUGAGGGAAAGGUGAAAAGAACUGAGGUGAUCAGAGUGAAAUAGAACCUGAAACCAUUUGCUUACAAUCAUUCAGAGCCCUAUGUAGCAAUACAGGGUGAUGGACUGCCUUUUGCAUAAUGAGCCUGCGAGUUGUGGUGUCUGGCAAGGUUAAGCAAACGCGAAGCCGUAGCGAAAGCGAGUCUGAAUAGGGCGCUUAGUCAGAUGCUGCAGACCCGAAACGAAGUGAUCUAUCCAUGAGCAAGUUGAAGCUAGUGUAAGAACUAGUGGAGGACUGAACCCAUAGGCGUUGAAAAGCCCCGGGAUGACUUGUGGAUAGGGGUGAAAGGCCAAUCAAACUUCGUGAUAGCUGGUUCUCUCCGAAAUAUAUUUAGGUAUAGCGUUGUGUCGUAAUAUAAGGGGGUAGAGCACUGAAUGGGCUAGGGCAUACACCAAUGUACCAAACCCUAUCAAACUCCGAAUACCUUAUAUGUAAUCACAGCAGUCAGGCGGCGAGUGAUAAAAUCCGUCGUCAAGAGGGAAACAACCCAGACUACCAGCUAAGGUCCCUAAAUCUUACUUAAGUGGAAAACGAUGUGAAGUUACUUAAACAACCAGGAGGUUGGCUUAGAAGCAGCCAUCCUUUAAAGAAAGCGUAAUAGCUCACUGGUCUAGUGAUUUUGCGCGGAAAAUAUAACGGGGCUAAAGUAAGUACCGAAGCUGUAGACUUGCGCACAACUUAGAUUAUUUAAGUUUAGAAUAUGAGAAACUAAGUUAUAUGUUUAGUUAUAUUUUUACUGAUUUUUAUAGAGUAAAGAUAGAAAUAAAACUUAGUAAAAUCAGUAAAAAUAUUCUUAGACUAAAGUUAAGUAGUUUAAGUUGUGUGCAAGUGGUAGGAGAGCGUUCUAUUUGCGUCGAAGGUAUACCGGUAAGGAGUGCUGGAGCGAAUAGAAGUGAGCAUGCAGGCAUGAGUAGCGAUAAUUAAUGUGAGAAUCAUUAACGCCGUAAACCCAAGGUUUCCUACGCGAUGCUCGUCAUCGUAGGGUUAGUCGGGUCCUAAGUCGAGUCCGAAAGGGGUAGACGAUGGCAAAUUGGUUAAUAUUCCAAUACCAACAUUAGUGUGCGAUGGAAGGACGCUUAGGGCUAAGGGGGCUAGCGGAUGGAAGUGCUAGUCUAAGGUCGUAGGAGGUUAUACAGGCAAAUCCGUAUAACAAUACUCCGAGAACUGAAAGGCUUUUUGAAGUCUUCGGAUGGAUAGAAGAACCCCUGAUGCCAUCGAGCCAAGAAAAGUUUCUAAGUUUAGCUAAUGUUGCCCGUACCGUAAACCGACACAGGUGGGUGGGAUGAGUAUUCUAAGGCGCGUGGAAGAACUCUCUUUAAGGAACUCUGCAAAAUAGCACCGUAUCUUCGGUAUAAGGUGUGGUUCGCUUCGUAUUAGGAUUUACUCCGAAAGCGAAGAAACUUACAACAAAGAGUCCCUCCCGACUGUUUACCAAAAACACAGCACUCUGCUAACUCGUAAGAGGAUGUAUAGGGUGUGACGCCUGCCCGGUGCUCGAAGGUUAAUUGAUGGGGUUAGCAUUAGCGAAGCUCUUGAUCGAAGCCCGAGUAAACGGCGGCCGUAACUAUAACGGUCCUAAGGUAGCGAAAUUCCUUGUCGGUUAAAUACCGACCUGCAUGAAUGGCGUAACGAGAUGGGAGCUGUCUCAAAGAGGGAUCCAGUGAAAUUGUAGUGGAGGUGAAAAUUCCUCCUACCCGCGGCAAGACGGAAAGACCCCGUGGACCUU